rnacentral:tRNA from 1 species
GCUCCCUUCGUCUAGCCUGGUAAGGACACCGCUUUUUCGUAGCGAUAACACGGGUUCAAAUCCCGUAGGGAGU